rnacentral:lncRNA from 1 species
GUUCGUACGAAGUUCGUUAUGAAAUGGGGUGGUUGGUGUAUUGUAUAGUUCUAGGGAUUGUAUUUCCCUCAAAACCCACCAAAUGACUCCUCCCACAAUAUUAUGAUGUUCCCCAAGUUUUGGACUCAAUCCGAUAUCGAUUGGUCCUUGAAAUCGGACAAUUCAGGUUCGUACGAAGUUCGUUCUGAAAUGGGGUGGUUGGUGUAUUGAAUAGUUCUAGAGAUUGGAUUUCACUCAAAACCAACCACAUGACUCCUGCCACAAUAUUAUGAUGUUCACCAAGUUUUGGUCUCAAUCCGAUAUCGAUUGGUGCUUGAAAUCGGACAAUUCAGGUUCGUAUGAAGUUCGUUCGUAAAUACGGUGGUUGGUGUGUUGCAUAGUUCUAGAGAUAGGAUUUCACUCAAAACCCACCAAAUGUCUCCUCCCACAAUAUUAUUACGUUCUCCAAGUUUUGGACUCAAUCCGAUAUCGAUUCGUCCUUGAAAUCGAACAAUUCAGGUUCCUACGAAGUUCGUUCUGAAAUGGGGUGGUUGGUGUAUUGUAUAGUUCUAGGGAUUGUAUUUCACUCAAAACAUACCAAAUGACUCCUCCCACAAUAUUAUGAUGUUCCCCAAGUUUUGGACUCAAUCCUUUCUCGAUUUGUCAAUGAAAUCGGACAAUUCAGGUUCGUACGAAGUUCGUUCUGAAAUGGGGUGGUUGGUUUAUUGUAUCGUUCUAUAGAUUGGAUUUCACUCAAAACCCACCAAAUGACUCCUCCCAAAAUAUUAUGAUGUUCCCCAAGUUUUGGACUCAAUCCGAUAUCGAUUGGUCCUUGAAAUCGGACAAUUCAGGUUCGUACGAAGUUCGUUCUGAAAUGGGGUGGUUUGUGUAUUGUAUAGUUCUAGAGAUUGGAUUUCACUCAAAACCCACAAAAUGACUCCUCCCACAAUAUUAUGAUGUUCCCCUAGUUUUGGACAAAAUCCGAUAUCGAUUGGUCCUUGAAAUCGGAUAAUUCAGGUUCGUACGAAGUUCGUUCGUAAAUAGGGUGGUUGGUGUGUUGCAUAGUUCUAGAGAUAGGAUUUCACUCAAAACCCACCAAAUGACUCCUCCCACAAUAUUAUGAUGUUCCCCAAGUUUUGGACUCAAUCCGAUAUCGAUUGGUGCUCGAAAUCGGACAGUUCAAGUUCGUAUGAAGUUCGUUCUGAAAUGGGGCGGUUGGUGUAUUGUAUUCUAGAGAUUGGAUUUCCCUCAAAACCCACCAAAUGACUCCUCCCACAAUAUUAUUAUGUUCCCCAAGUUUUGGACUCAAUCCGAUAUCGAUUGGUCCUUGAAAUCGGACAAUUCAGGUUCGUACGAAGUUCCUUCUGAAAUGGGGUGGUUGGUGUAUUGAAUAGUUCUAGAGAUUGGAUUUCACUAAAAACCCACCAAAUGACUCCUCCCACAAUAUUAUGAUGUUCCCCUGGUUUUGGACUCAAUCCGAUAUCGAUCGGGUCCACGAAAUUUGACAAUUCAGGUUCAUACGAAGUUCGUUCUGAAAUGGAGGUGGUUUGGUGUAUUGCAUCGUUCUAGGGAUUGUAUUUUCACUCAAGACCCACCAAAUGACUCCUCCCACAAUAUUGUGAUCUUCCCCAAGUUUUGGACUCAAUCCGUUAUCGAUUGGUUAAUGAAAUCGGACAAUUCAGGUUCGUACGAAGUUCGUUC